rnacentral:rRNA from 1 species
AGUAAAAGUCGUAACAAGGUUUCCGUAGGUGAACCUGCGGAAGGAUCAUUACACUCAGUAGUUUACUACUGUAAAGGAGGCUGUUAGUCUGUAUAGCGCAAGCUGAUGAGCAGCUAGUCUCUUUUAUCCACCCUUGUCUUUUGCGUACCCACGUUUCCUCGGCAGGCUUGCCUGCCGAUUGGACAAACCUACAACCUUUUUAAUUUUCAAUCAGCGUCUGAAAAACUUAAUAAUUACAACUUUCAACAACGGAUCUCUUGGUUCUGGCAUCGAUGAAGAACGCAGCGAAAUGCGAUAAGUAGUGUGAAUUGCAGAAUUCAGUGAAUCAUCGAAUCUUUGAACGCACAUUGCGCCCCUUGGUAUUCCAUGGGGCAUGCCUGUUCGAGCGUCAUUUGUACCCUCAAGCUCUGCUUGGUGUUGGGUGUUUGUCCUCUCCCUAGUGUUUGGACUCGCCUUAAAAUAAUUGGCAGCCAGUGUUUUGGUAUUGAAGCGCAGCACAAGUCGCGAUUCUUAUCAAAUACUUGCGUCCACAAGCCCUUUUUUAACUUUUGACCUCGGAUCAGGUAGGGAUACCCGCUGAACUUAAGCAUAUCAAUAAGCGGAGGA